UACGAAGGGGGCUAGCGUUGUUCGGAAUCACUGGGCGUAAAGCGCACGUAGGCGGAUGUGUCAGUCAGGGGUGAAAUCCCGGAGCUCAACUUCGGAACUGCCCUUGAUACAGCACGUCUUGAGUCCGGAAGAGGUGGGUGGAAUUCCUAGUGUAGAGGUGAAAUUCGUAGAUAUUAGGAAGAACACGGUGGCGAAGGCGGCCCACUGGUCCGGUACUGACGCUGAGGUGCGAAAGCGUGGGGAGCAAACAGG
rnacentral:rRNA from 1 species